UUAUAUGAAUGAACAAAGAAAAUGGUUUCUUAAGAUGGAAACUACUCCUGGUGAAGAUGUUGUGAA
rnacentral:pre_miRNA from 1 species